CUACGGGAGGCAGCAGUGAGGAAUAUUGGGCAAUGGAGGAGACUCUGACCCAGCCAUGCCGCGUGUAGGAAGAAUGCCCUAUGGGUUGUAAACUACUUUUAUACAGGAAGAAACACUGGUAUGUAUACCAGCUUGACGGUACUGUAAGAAUAAGGACCGGCUAACUCCGUGCCAGCAGCCGCGGUAAUACGGAGGGUCCAAGCGUUAUCCGGAAUCAUUGGGUUUAAAGGGUCCGCAGGCGGUCAAUUAAGUCAGAGGUGAAAUCCCGUCGCUCAACGACGGAACUGCCUUUGAUACUGGUUGACUUGAGUCAUAUGGAAGUAGAUAGAAUGUGUAGUGUAGCGGUGAAAUGCAUAGAGAUUACACAGAAUACCGAUUGCGAAGGCAGUCUACUACGUAUGUACUGACGCUGAGGGACGAAAGCGUGGGGAGCGAACAGGAUUAGAUACCCUGGUAGUCCACGCCGUAAACGAUGGAUACUAGUUGUUGGGCAAUAGCUCAGUGACUAAGCGAAAGUGAUAAGUAU
rnacentral:rRNA from 1 species